rnacentral:rRNA from 1 species
UACGGAGGGUGCGAGCGUUGUCCGGAAUCACUGGGCGUAAAGGGCGCGUAGGCGGCGCGGAUAGUCGGCGGUGAAAGCCCGGAGCUCAACUCCGGGUCGGCCGUCGAUACUUCCGGGCUUGAGCACUGUAGAGGCAGAUGGAAUUCCGGGUGUAGCGGUGGAAUGCGUAGAGAUCCGGAAGAACACCGGUGGCGAAGGCGGCCUGCUGGGCAGUUGCUGACACUGAGGCGCGGACGAGCGUGGGGAGCAAACAGG